CGACACCCUAAAAAUGUCCAAUUGGUUCACCUUUCCUCAUUUGCAGACUUGGAGGAGGAGGAGGAGGUAGAAAGUGUUCUGGAAAUGUGGAAAUGGAAAUUAACAUGCACUGAAAACCUGUUUUGUGUUUCAUUUGUAUGUAGAGAGCUGAUGAGAUGGAGUUCUUGUUCAAUCUGCCAUUUUGCCUGCAAUAAAAUGACUAGUUUAUGGGAAAUAAGGUAGGGCUCUCAUGACUUGACCUAGAUUUAUGAUGGAACUUGUAAAAGUAUUUGGUUUCAAUAAAUCUGAUAGAUUAAACACUGUUCUUGUUAGCGGUUGAUAGACGUCCUCUUUUAAAGCCAUCUAAUUGCCAGAGAACCUAUGCAACAUCACUAUUAAAAUCAAGAUUUGGACAUGAAAUAGUGAUAUCUGUAAGCAAUGUCUGUCUUGAGCAAUAUGUACAUUGACCUUUUUACAGUGAUCAGAAAAUGCAUGACACUUUAAAAAAAGAAAGAACAAACUAAGUAAAGUGCCUUAAUUAAAAAGCCAAAGCUCUUUUGAAAAAUGAGAGUCUGUUUUACCUGCCUCAAGUAACAGAACUUAUUUUCUGCAAUAUUUAGGUGUUAAGUACUCCCUUGCCUCUCUCUUAAGGGGAUUAUAAACUGCUUUUGCAAGCUACAGGGUGAAGUAAAGUACUGAAAAGAGUUAUUAAAAUUGACAAUUUAAUGCAAGUAAUCUGUUACAUGUGGCAUUUGAAAUGCCUUCUGUUCUGUAGUUAAUAUUCUAAAAAUAAAUGUUUUUUUCCCCACUG